rnacentral:rRNA from 1 species
AGCGAACGCUGGCGGCAUGCUUAACACAUGCAAGUCGCACGGAUCUUUCGGGAUUAGUGGCGAACGGGUGAGUAACACGUGGACAACCUGCCUCAAGGCUGGGGAUAACAUUUGGAAACAGAUGCUAAUACCGAAUAAAACUCAGUGUCGCAUGACACAAAGUUAAAAGGCGCUUUGGCGUCACCUAGAGAUGGAUCCGCGGUGCAUUAGUUAGUUGGUGGGGUAAAGGCCUACCAAGACGAUGAUGCAUAGCCGAGUUGAGAGACUGAUCGGCCACAUUGGGACUGAGACACGGCCCAAACUCCUACGGGAGGCUGCAGUAGGGAAUCUUCCACAAUGGGCGAAAGCCUGAUGGAGCAACGCCGCGUGUGUGAUGAAGGCUUUCGGGUCGUAAAGCACUGUUGUAUGGGAAGAACAGCUAGAAUAGGGAAUGAUUUUAGUUUGACGGUACCAUACCAGAAAGGGACGGCUAAAUACGUGC